rnacentral:rRNA from 1 species
ACGAACGCUGGCGGCGUGCCUAAUACAUGCAAGUCGAGCGGACCGAACAGGAGCUUGCUCUUGUUCGGUUAGCGGCGGACGGGUGAGUAACACGUGGGUAACCUGCCCGUAAGACCGGGAUAACUCCGGGAAACCGGAGCUAAUACCGGAUAACACCGAAGACCGCAUGGUCUUUGGUUGAAAGGCGGCUUCGGCUGCCACUUACGGAUGGGCCCGCGGCGCAUUAGCUAGUUGGUGAGGUAACGGCUCACCAAGGCGACGAUGCGUAGCCGGCCUGAGAGGGUGACCGGCCACACUGGGACUGAGACACGGCCCAGACUCCUACGGGAGGCAGCAGUAGGGAAUCUUCCGCAAUAGACGAAAGUCUGACGGAGCGACGCCGCGUGAGCGAAGAAGGUCUUCGGAUCGUAAAGCUCUGUUGUUAGGGAAGAAGAAGCGUCGUUCGAACAGGGCGGCGCGGUGACGGUACCUAACGAGAAAGCCCCGGCUAACUACGUG